UACGUAGGUGGCAAGCGCUGUCCGGAUUUACUGGGCGUAAAGGAUGCGUAGGCGGACAUUUAAGUCAGAUGUGAAAUACUCGAGCUUAACUUGGGUGCUGCAUUUGAAACUGGGUGUCUAGAGUGCAGGAGAGGUAAGUGGAAUUCCUAGUGUAGCGGUGAAAUGCGUAGAGAUUAGGAAGAACACCAGUGGCGAAGGCGAAUUACUGGACUGUAACUGACGCUGAGGCAUGAAAGCGUGGGGAGCAAACAGG
rnacentral:rRNA from 1 species